rnacentral:lncRNA from 1 species
UUUUUUUUUUUUUUUUUUUUGCGGGUGUGUGUAUGCACCAGAUUUCCUUCUGGUGCAUAUAGGUCCAUCUUCUGACACACACUGAGAUUUGAGCUUCAUUGGAUAAACAAGGAUUAUUUUGGCAACUAGCAUUUGUUGGGUCUGUUUUUAAUUCAUGAAAAGGAAAUCUUUAAUAAUUAUGCAAGUUAACAGGAUAGAAAGCGAUUUAUUCAUUUUACAAGAAUCAUUUCAGGAUAAGCAUAUUUCCAUUAAGGGUGUGUGUAUACCUUAUUGAGUGGUCAGGACCUUGCAUCAAAAUCUGCACUAUCAUUCCUGCAGCAGUGUACUUAUUCACUUGGACGUAACACUUGCUGAUGCUUCCAAUUCUUUAUCCAAAUGUUAAAAUAAAUAUGCCAGUAUUUAUACAUUCAAAUCAGUAUUUCUCCCCUUCAAAAGCCUGCUCUUGGCAAGCUGUGUACUAAUUCUAGUGAUGCUGUCACUACUGAGAAUAAUUUUGGAGCUCCUGCUUUGGAGUUGCCUUCCGAGUUUGCAACACAUUUCCUGAUUGCCUCAGUGGUGGCAAACCUUCCUCAGCUGGGAAACAGCCAGGCACUGUGCGGGGCCAACUUGGGCUUCCGAGGUGGGGAAUCGAGGUUGUCAAUAAGUAUGCUCAUUAAAGUAAUGAAAAUUCUCUUGAAAGACUGGCAGUUCUAAAAGGGGCAUUUAGUAAUGGCAUGGAGUAUGUAUUUAGGAUUGGAAGGAAUUACAGUUGGUCCCUGAAUAACACCGGGGUUAGGGGCUCCCAUCAUCUCCACAGUGGAAAUUUUGAGUACAACAUUUAACUCCUCAAAAACUUAACUACUUUGAAGCACAACCUUCAUUUUGGUGUUUAUGCUCUGGUAUGUAUGUAAAGUAAUUGGUCCUGUCACUUUAUUGUUAUAGCUUAUGGCUUAUUGGGCUAGAAAAAGUAAGCCUUUCUUUGCCCCUCCUGAUACUUGUUACUAGGCAGUCUCUGUCAUUGUGGAUUUUUACAGAAAGCAAAACAAAAAUACAAAAGACUUGUUGUCUCACCAAAAAAAAAAA